CAACACUGGGACCGUCAAUGUUGACUGGGAAGCCGGCGAGAUUUUAGCUCGAGCCGAGAGCUAUGACGAAUUAGCCAGUCAGCCUAGCCAGGAUGGCCGACUGUAACGCCACACCAUAUUGCCUAGCCGAGCCUUAUGACGCCACGCCAUAGCCAAGCGAAGCCAAGCCAAAGCCAAAGCCAUACGGUUCGAUAACGAUCUUCCGGUUGUGAGUGACAUUACGUUCCACCGCCAAAUAAAGAGGGUAUAAAUGAGCCGAUUGUUGAUUUAUGUGAUUAUUCUUGUGUUAGCAUUCAAAUAAGUAGAAACGCUGCCAGUUUGUAUAAGUGAUUUUUAAUAAAGUAAUAAUUGUAUAAAGUG